GGCUGGAUCACCUCCUUUUAGGGAGACCUACCCUUGAUAGUUCCGAACUAUUUUAUUAGGAGUAUCGAGUGGUCACUCUAGGUCGUUCAGGAACUUGAGUAAAGUUUCUAAGCUAUGGUUGAGGUUUAUUUUUUCAUCAUCUGCGCAAGAGGGGGUUGAUGAAAGUAAACACACGGGCUAUUAGCUCAGGUGGUUAGAGCGCACCCCUGAUAAGGGUGAGGUCCCUGGUUCGAGUCCAGGAUGGCCCACUGCGUGGGGGUUUAGCUCAGUUGGUAGAGCGCCUGCUUUGCAAGCAGGAUGUCAGCGGUUCGAGUCCGCUAACCUCCACUGAGCGAGGAUUCAGCACAGUAUGUACUGACUUAAUGAGUUAUGUAUGUAGUCUGCUGGGUGAGAGCCUAGCGAAGAACCUUGAAAACUACAUAGUUAGAGAAGUGUAAGGUAGUACACACAGAUAUUGAGUCGAGAGAAAAGCGCGAUUCCGAACUGUUGCUGAG
rnacentral:tRNA from 1 species